AAUUAUCAACUGUGCCACUUUGGUUACAGAUUGGAUGUGGGAGAUUUUUUGCAGGCUUUUGAACUAGUCAGCUCUCCUGAAAUGUAUUAGCAGUGCCUUUGUUGGUUCAUUAGGUGUGAUAAUUUAUCUAUCUUACAAUGGUACCUUCAUUUGUAAAAGGUCAUAUUGCUUCUAAUUGAAUUGAAUUAUGACAAA
rnacentral:misc_RNA from 1 species